rnacentral:lncRNA from 1 species
GUGAUAUAACCAUACAGCAUAACAUACUGAGUUGUAAUUAAUAGUUAUAAAUCAUCAAAAUUUCUCCAUCCUUAACGAUCCCGCCGGCCAGGAAAAACCAACUAUGUCGAUAGACGGCGUUGGAAACCUGUGUCCAAACCCUAAAUUAGUCGAAAGCUAAUUUGCUCGAAAGACCGUUUCCGGAGUCAUACUUGGACAGUAUACUUAAAGAUAUGACAUGUAUAACAAAAAAAAAAAAAAAAUGAUAUAAAGUGGAACAUGAAACUUUAAAAUAACCCUACGUGCAUCAGUACAUUCAGCAAAAAACGUAAAGCUCAUAAAUGAG